UACGUAGGCAGCAAGCGUUGUUCGGAAUUACUGGGCGUAAAGAGUGUGUAGGUGGUGUCGUAAGUUUGGUGUGAAAUCUCCCGGCUUAACUGGGAGGGUGCGCCGAAGACUGCGAUGCUGGAGUAGUGGGAGAGGAAAGCGGAAUUCCUGGUGUAGCGGUGAAAUGCGUAGAUAUCAGGAGGAACACCUGCGGUGUAGACGGCUUUCUGGACCAUUACUGACACUGAGACACGAAAGCGUGGGUAGCAAACAGG
rnacentral:rRNA from 1 species